GAUGAACGCUGGCGGCGUGCCUAAUACAUGCAAGUCGAGCGAACAGACGAGGAGCUUGCUCCUCUGACGUUAGCGGCGGACGGGUGAGUAACACGUGGAUAACCUACCUAUAAGACUGGGAUAACUUCGGGAAACCGGAGCUAAUACCGGAUAAUAUAUUGAACCGCAUGGUUCAAUAGUGAAAGACGGUUUUGCUGUCACUUAUAGAUGGAUCCGCGCCGCAUUAGCUAGUUGGUAAGGUAACGGCUUACCAAGGCAACGAUGCGUAGCCGACCUGAGAGGGUGAUCGGCCACACUGGAACUGAGACACGGUCAGACUCCUACGGGAGGCAGCAGUAGGGAAUCAUCCGCAAUGGGCGAAAGCCUGACGGAGCAACGCCGCGUGAGUGAUGAAGGUCUUCGGAUCGUAAAACUCUGUUAUUAGGGAAGAACAAAUGUGUAAGUAACUAUGCACGUCUUGACGGUACCUAAUCAGAAAGCCACGGCUAACUACGUG
rnacentral:rRNA from 1 species